rnacentral:rRNA from 1 species
CUACGUAUGUCGCAAGCGUUAUCCGGAUUUAUUGGGCGUAAAGCGCGUCUAGGCGGCUUAGUAAGUCUGAUGUGAAAAUGCGGGGCUCAACCCCGUAUUGCGUUGGAAACUGCUAAACUAGAGUACUGGAGAGGUAGGCGGAACUACAAGUGUAGAGGUGAAAUUCGUAGAUAUUUGUAGGAAUGCCGAUGGGGAAGCCAGCCUACUGGACAGAUACUGACGCUAAAGCGCGAAAGCGUGGGUAGCAAACAGGAUUAGAUACCCUGGUAGUCCACGCCGUAAACGAUGAUUACUAGGUGUUGGGGGUCGAACCUCAGCGCCCAAGCUAACGCGAUAAGUAAUCCGCCUGGGGAGUACGUACGCAAGUAUGAAACUUAAAGGAAUUGACGGGG